GUGAGUCAUCGAAUCUUUGAACGCACAUUGCACCCUCUGGUAUUCCGGGGGGUAUGCCUGUUCGAGCGUCAUUUCAACCCUCAAGCCUAGCUUGGUAUUGGAUGUCACCUAGCAUGGUGCAUCUUAAAAUCAGUGGCGGUACCAUUCAGCUUCAAGUGCAGUAAUACUCUCGCUUUGGAGAUUGGAUGUGGGCUUGCCAUCAACCCCCUUAAUCUAUCAAAGGUUGACCUCGGAUCAGGUAGGGAUACCCGCUGAACUUAAGCAUAUCAAUAAGCGGAGGA
rnacentral:misc_RNA from 1 species